AAACAUUUUCCGAAAAAAAAUCCACAUAAUAACGUUUUGUCCUUUAAUUCUUUUUUGGGGUGUCCGUUAAAAUACCGCAAAAGUCCCCCUUAGUGCACUUAGAACAAAAAAUUGCACUAAAGGACCUGAUGGAAUGAUACAAUUGACACAAAAGGCAUUGCAUAUAUAAGUCAACGUUUUAAAAAUAAACAAUUUUAUAAUCACAUUUAGAAAGUUAUUUUAUAUUUUAUCGACACGCGCCACACUCAGUUGACAGUAAUAUAUAGAAAUUCAUGUUCAUUCAACCUUGACCCG
rnacentral:lncRNA from 1 species